GACUAUAAUAGGAUUAUGCAAUAACAAUAAUUCAGAUAGGAAAAUAGUAGUGAAUAAGGUAUCAAUAUAUACAAGCAUAAAAGUGUUGCUUUUAAGUAUAUAACCCUUCAGCCACCCCUUUCCUCCUCCCGGCGAAAAAUGUCGCCGGAACAACACCCUUGGAAUGCUCUCCUUCCUUCGCCGCCCAGCCCCUCUCCCUCUUCCGCACAUAUCAGUCGACGAGUGGCCAUGGAGGGCCGCCGCCACUGCCGUUCUCCCCCUCUGCUGUGACCAACGGCGCUUGGCCUUCGGUCGCGCCGCCCCGCUCAUCUCCCUCAGAUCCCAUUAUCUCUCUUCCUCUCACGCUCUCAGCGGAAACAACAGCUCAAGAAAGACUGCUGCUCUGGCGUCUGCCGCCUCACGCCGCCACCGUCGUCCGGUCUGUCUCGCCAUCAUCCAGCCACCGGUCGCUGCCGCCUUGUGCCGCCGACUUCCCCGAUCAGACAUUCAGCCCCAGAAACGAAAGGAUACUCUACCCCCCAUUCUCUCGACUCGUUCACAAACAAGAUAAGUUUUAAAAACAAAUUUUCAGAUUUGAAAACAAAAAUUGAAUCUUGAGGAAUUUUCGACUUUUAUCGAAACGUGAGUCUUUGCUUGUGAUUCUGAUGUGGUGGUUGAUUAUGAUUGAAGAUGUUUUAUGAGGUCAGAUUUCGGCUCAUAAGGUUAGAAUGAGUAUUUGAAGUUUAUGAGGAAUUGGUCUACUGUAAAUGGGAGUUUUAAGUUCAUGAGUCCUCUAGUCCAUGCUAUUGAAUGUAGAACUGAAAGAAUAAGAAUUUUAAAGAAGUUUGAAUCAACCUUAUGCAAGGGUGAGGUUGGAGAUGUGGUCCCGUGUAUGCUUAAAUCUUCUGUGUUGGCUGAUUUGCUCUGCAGGAGUAAAAGUGCUAUUAAAGAAUUGGUGGCUUGAAGAAUUACAGAGGCAAUAAAAGAGCUGGAGAAGAAUAUUGAGGCAAUAAACGAGCUGGAGAAGAAUAUUACCGUCCCAAUGAUUGGAGCAAGCUGUGGAUGGUGGGGGAAACCAGAGGGGAAAAGCUUUUAUGAAGGGUGAAACUGACGUGUAGGGAUGGGUGAAUUUGUGGAGUUAACAAUUUGUAAAGAAUCAUGUAUACGUGGCUUGUUUGUUUUCAUGAAUUAAAAGAAGAUAUGCACUGCAGAGAACUUGGUGGAAAAGGAAAUGUAAAACUCUCU
rnacentral:lncRNA from 1 species